UGGGGAAUAUUGCACAAUGGGCGCAAGCCUGAUGCAGCCAUGCCGCGUGUGUGAAGAAGGCCUUCGGGUUGUAAAGCACUUUCAGCGAGGAGGAAGGUGGUGAGCUUAAUACGCUCAUCAAUUGACGUUACUCGCAGAAGAAGCACCGGCUAACUCCGUGCCAGCAGUCGCGGUAAUACGGAGGGUGCAAGCGUUAAUCGGAAUUACUGGGCGUAAAGCGCACGCAGGCGGUUUGUUAAGUCAGAUGUGAAAUCCCCGGGCUCAACCUGGGAACUGCAUUUGAAACUGGCAAGCUAGAGUCUCGUAGAGGGGGGUAGAAUUCCAGGUGUAGCGGUGAAAUGCGUAGAGAUCUGGAGGAAUACCGGUGGCGAAGGCGGCCCCCUGGACGAAGACUGACGCUCAGGUGCGAAAGCGUGGGGGCCAAAACAGGAUUAGAUACCCUGGUAGUCCACGCUGUAAAACGAUGUCGAUUUUGGAGGUUGUGCCCUUGAGGCGUGGCUUCCGGAGCUAACGCGUUAAAGUCGACCGCCUGGGGAGUACGCCGCAAGGUUAAAACUCAAAUGAAUUGACGGGGUCAUAGCUGUUUCCU
rnacentral:rRNA from 1 species